GACAGAGGUUGCAAGCGUUGUUCGGAAUUACUGGGCAUAAAGCGCACGUAGGCGGUCCGCUAAGUCAUGUGUGAAAUCCCCCGGCUCAACCGGGGAAUGGCGCCUGAUACUGGCGGACUCGAGAUCGGUAGGGGUGAGUGGAACUCCAGGUGGAGCGGUGAAAUGCGUAGAUAUCUGGAGGAACACCGGUGGCGAAAGCGACUCACUGGACCGACACUGACGCUGAGGGACGAAAGCUAGGGGAGCGAACGGG
rnacentral:rRNA from 1 species